rnacentral:lncRNA from 1 species
UACCGAACUUCUAAAAUCAUGAAGUCACGGUGUACAUUUAGAUGGUUCCGGUAAGGUUGCGGUGGAAUGUAACGUACCGGAUUUUAAAUAGAAAAGUGAAAAUAAAUAAAAAUAGUAUGAGAUACUAUUUUAUCGGAUUUAGAGAAGCGAAAUAUAGGUUGGGAAUGACCUGUGCUGAAAUCGGAGCGAAAACAGAAGAUUUAGAAUUUUCUGGGAGAAACGGGGCAGAUAAAUUAGCAGAAAAUGCACAGUCUCAGAAAAUUAUGAAAAUUGGCGGGGAUGCCAGAAAUAUUUUUAU